GUUUUCGUGGUGUAAUUGUCAGCACGUUCGACUUGUAUUCGAGAGGACCGUGUUUCGAAUCCAAGCGAGGGCA
rnacentral:tRNA from 1 species